CCCACUGUCCUGGAGUAGGGAUCAGUACCCAUCCUGAUGCCAAUCAGCUGGAAGUCAUUCCUUUUGAUGUUGGGGACAUCCGUGCUAUGAGUCGAUGGACAGAUAUCUUCAUAUUUCUUCCCAGUAAAAUUAUCAGUACCAACCAAAUGGACCUUGGCAUGGCCUUGCUUGCCAGUCUUCGAAGUAGACAUCUCGACGAUCUUACACGGCCGGCCCUUGAGCACCACAAAACCAUUCUUACAUAAUGCUGAGCACUGCAUUGGGAAGGUGGCGGAGGCCCCUGCAUCUCCUGUCUCGAAGUCCAAAUCAUCUGCCAUUUUAAGAGGCUUCGAUUCCAGCUCGGGCGAACGCAC
rnacentral:lncRNA from 1 species